AGUGAACGCUGGCGGUAGGCCUAACACAUGCAAGUCGAACGGCAGCACAGUAAGAGCUUGCUCUUACGGGUGGCGAGUGGCGGACGGGUGAGGAAUACAUCGGAAUCUACUUUUUCGUGGGGGAUAACGUAGGGAAACUUACGCUAAUACCGCAUACGACCUACGGGUGAAAGCAGGGGAUCUUCGGACCUUGCGCGAUUGAAUGAGCCGAUGUCGGAUUAGCUAGUUGGCGGGGUAAAGGCCCACCAAGGCGACGAUCCGUAGCUGGUCUGAGAGGAUGAUCAGCCACACUGGAACUGAGUCACGGUCCAGACUCCUACGGGAGGCAGCAGUGGGGAAUAUUGGACAAUGGGCGCAAGCCUGAUCCAGCCAUACCGCGUGGGUGAAGAAGGCCUUCGGGUUGUAAAGCCCUUUUGUUGGGAAAGAAAAGCAGCAGGUUAAUACCCCGCUGUUCUGACGGUACCCAAAGAAUAAGCACCGGCUAACUUCGUG
rnacentral:rRNA from 1 species